CAUGAAGCUGGAAUCGCUAGUAAUCGCAGAUCAGAAUGCUGCGGUGAAUACGUUCCCGGGUCUUGUACACACCGCCCGUCACACCAUGGGAGUUGGAAAUGCCCGAAGUCGGUGACCUAACCGAAAGGGAGGAGCCGCCGAAGGCAGGUCUGAUAACUGGGGUGAAGUCGUAACAAGGUAUC
rnacentral:rRNA from 1 species